rnacentral:rRNA from 1 species
CCCUUAGAUGUCCUGGGCUGCACGCGCGCUACACUGAUGUGUCCAGUAAGCACCUAACCUCUUCCGAAAGGAACGGGUAACCUUUGCAAAGCACAUCGUGAUGGGGAUAGAUUAUUGCAAUUAUUAGUCUUGAACGAGGAAUUCCUAGUAAGCACAAGUCAUCAGCUUGUGUUGAUUACGUCCCUGCCCUUUGUACACACCGCCCGUCGCUCCUACCGAUUGAAUGUUCCGGUGAGCUCUUCGGACUGCGCGGUCUGCAGUUUCUGCGUUCCGUGCGGAAAGUUGCGCCAACCUUAACAUUUAGAGGAAGGAGAAGUCGUAACA